CAACUCUCAACAACGGAUAUCUUGGCUCUCAGAUCGAUGAAGAACGCAGCGAAAUGCGAUACGUAGUGUGAAUUGCAGAAAUACGUGAAUCAUCAAAUUUUUGAACGCAAAUUGCGCUUGAGGCUUCGGCCAAGAGCAUGUCUGCCUCAGCGUCGGGUU
rnacentral:rRNA from 1 species